rnacentral:piRNA from 1 species
UAAAAUUGCUACAACCCACACCCACUC